GUUGUGACUGAAUGGAGUACUUUCCACAGCCUCUUCCUUGGAAAAUUUCCCUGUGUGCUGGGCUCAGUGGAGAAUGCAAGCUACGGAAUCAGGUCAUGUAUCACCCACAGAGAAAACCACAAGGUGAACCCACAGCAAAGCUGGCCACUCCUUAGAGCUUGCAGGUGCUGAGAUGACCUGGGCUCUUCUCCAGCCUCCGGAUUCCAGGAUCCAUGACAGCUGACAUCAUGAGGACCACAUCCCUUUGCCACUGCUGGCGGCUCAGACUGCCCUCAGAUGUUGCCCCCACCUUCUCUGGUCUUCACUGUGGCUCUGAAGGGGAUGCUGCACAUGAAGCACUCUCAUCCCAGGGGUGGCAGUGUUCUGUCAUGCCCAUAGACCAUCAGCAGCUUCCUCUGGCCUCAUCCACAGCUCUGUUUUAUAGGGGUCAAAGGAGCAGGUGAUGUGUUUAAUCACACAUUCUGUGUAAGAAAGAGGACUACUCUGUGCUGAACUUGGGACCUGGGAAAUACACAGUCACCCCAGACACAGAGUAGUCCUUCGGCCUGGCCAGCUGCUUCCAAAGAGAAAACCCUUAGCCCCUCAUGCAGCCCUUGCAGCUGUCUCAAGUCCCUUCCAGCUCCCAGCCACAGGGAACAAAUCAAAAUGAACUUGAACCAGACUUUUCCUCAACUUGUAUU